rnacentral:rRNA from 1 species
GACAGAGGGGGCAAGCGUUGCUCGGAAUUACUGGGCGUAAAGGGCGCGUAGGCGGGAUGGUAAGUCGGUCGUGAAAUCCCUCGGCUCAACCGAGGAACGUCGAUCGAUACUACCGUUCUUGAGGAUUGCAGAGGAGACUGGAAUUCCCGGUGUAGCGGUGAAAUGUGUAGAGAUCAGGAGGAACACCGGCGGCGAAGGCGGCACUCUGGGCCGGUACUGACGCUGAGGAGCGAAAGCGUGGGUAGCAAACAGG